rnacentral:rRNA from 1 species
CAGAGACCUCAAGCGUUAUCCGGAUUUAUUGGGCGUAAAGCGUCCGCAGGUGGUUCGUUAAGUCACUGGUCAAAUCUUCGGGCUCAACUCGGAGACUGCCCGUGAUACUGACGAGCUCGAGGCCGGUAGAGGUAAGCGGAAUUACAGGUGUAGCGGUAAAAUGCGUUUAUAUCUGUAAGAACACCAAAGGCGAAGGCAGCUUACUGGAACGGUCCUGACACUCAUGGACGAAAGCGUGGGGAGCGAAAAGGAUUAGAUACCCUUGUAGUCCACGCUGUAAACGAUGUGUGCUGGGUAUUGGCAGUAUCGACCCUGCCAGUGCCGUCAAAAAAGCUAACGCGUUAAGCACACCGCCUGGGGAGUACGGUCGCAAGACUAA